rnacentral:rRNA from 1 species
AUUGAACGCUGGCGGCAGGCCUAACACAUGCAAGUCGAACGGUAACAGGAAGAAGCUUGCUUCUUUGCUGACGAGUGGCGGACGGGUGAGUAAUGUCUGGGAAACUGCCUGAUGGAGGGGGAUAACUACUGGAAACGGUAGCUAAUACCGCAUAACGUCGCAAGACCAAAAAGGGGGACCUUCGGGCCUCUUGCCAUCGGAUGUGCCCAGAUGGGAUUAGCUAGUAGGUGGGGUAACGGCUCACCUAGGCGACGAUCCCUAGCUGGUCUGAGAGGAUGACCAGCCACACUGGAACUGAGACACGGUCCAGACUCCUACGGGAGGCAGCAGUGGGGAAUAUUGCACAAUGGGCGCAAGCCUGAUGCAGCCAUGCCGCGUGUAUGAAGAAGGCCUUCGGGUUGUAAAGUACUUUCAGCGGGGAGGAAGGGAGUAAAGUUAAUACCUUUGCUCAUUGACGUUACCCGCAGAAGAAGUACCGGCUAACUCCGUG